rnacentral:rRNA from 1 species
CCUACGGGAGGCAGCAGUGGGGAAUAUUGGACAAUGGGGGAAACCCUGAUCCAGCAAUGCCGCGUGCGUGAUGAAGGCCUUCGGGUUGUAAAGCGCUUUUAUUGGUGACGAUAAUGACGGUAACCAAUGAAUAAGCCCCGGCUAACUUCGUGCCAGCAGCCGCGGUAAUACGAAGGGGGCUAGCGUUGUUCGGAAUGACUGGGCGUAAAGGGCGCGUAGGCGGUAUAAUACGUUUGGUGUGAAAGUCCUGGGCUUAACCUGGGGACUGCACUGAAUACGGUUAUACUGGAGUGCGAGAGGGGAUAAGGGAAUUGUGCGUGUAGAGGUGAAAUUCGUAGAUAUGCACAAGAACACCGGUGGCGAAGGCGCUUAUCUGGCUCGCAACUGACGCUAAGGCGCGAAAGCGUGGGGAGCAAACAGGAUUAGAUACCCCUGUAGUC